rnacentral:misc_RNA from 1 species
AAGUCGUAACAAGGUUUCCGUAGGUGAACCUGCGGAAGGAUCAUUAACACGUUAUCCAUACGUUAACCAAUGAGAAUCGUUUUCACCCUCCCUUCACGGAGAAUGAGCGGGGUUCGUAGAGGUGUUGGAAGGGAUUGCUUCGGCAAUCAGCCUCUAUCUACUAUUUUUGCAUUACAGAAAUGUUUGCAAAGACGCUGUAUCUUUUGUGGAGAUUAAUCUCGCCAGAGCUCCCCUUUCAUUGAGAGCUGGUCGGGAACUAUAUUAACUUAUUUCACCUUUUGCUAGUUGACUUUUAUAUGUUGGACACUGUGCAUUGCAUUUUGUUCACACGUUUAUUAUUUGAACGUUAAAAUUACAACUCUUAGCAAUGGAUAUCUUGGUUCUC